rnacentral:misc_RNA from 1 species
GACAGAGGGUGCGAGCGUUGUUCGGAAUUACUGGGCGUAAAGCGCGCGCAGGCGGCGCUGCAAGUCGGGAGUGAAAUUCCGGGGCUCAACCCCGGAGCUGCUGUCGAAACUGCAGGGCUGGAGACCGGUAGAGGCUGGUAGAAUUCCUGGUGUAGCGGUGGAAUGCGUAGAGAUCAGGAAGAAUACCCGUGGCGAAGGCGGCCAGCUGGGCCGGUUCUGACGCUGAGGCGCGAAAGCGUGGGGAGCAAACAGG